rnacentral:lncRNA from 1 species
CGAGACUCCCUCUCAAAAAAAAAAAAAAAACUGUUAGGUAUAUAUUACGGUAUAUAUAUUAAGGCAGACCUGGGUCGGUCUCAUACUGGAAUGCCUAUUAGCUGCAUGAGGGGAAACAGUAACCAGAAAGUAGAGGACUGGACAACAUCUGGACCAAGGGAUCAAAAUUAACAUCAAUAAGGAAGUCGCUAUGCACAGUUCACACUUAAGGACUGAGGAAGAGUUAUGUUCCAUCUCCUUGAAGUCCUAGAAUCAGGCGUUUCUUUAAGAGGCCCUACUUCCUCUAAUUGGAUAAUUCUAGAAACCGGUAUUUGAAUCUGAGGUCUUUAAAUGGAUUCAUUUGAAAAUCAGAGUCCUCCAUUAUCAAUAAAAGUAUUAUGAUGUGGCUGCUCUAGAAUAGCAGAAAGUUAAAAAACAAACUUAAAAUCAGACAACCAGUAAUAUUAAAUUUUCUCCGGGUGCACAUUAUUUAGUUCCUCAUUAACUUAAUUGUUUUCCAGUAAAAGUGAAGUGCACAAUAUGAAAAUUAAAUAAUAUUACAUGUCAGAGUUUAAAAGAAAUAUUCAUUUAACAUUGGAAUAGGUUUUUUCCCCAGGAAAUCUUGUUCAUUUAUUUUGUGAGAAUUUUUGUUUGUCGCUAUUUGUUCAAAACAUAAUACAAUUGUGAGACCCAGUGCCUGCUGGCAAAGUUGGAAUAGCUGUCAGCAGGAAAUGGCAAACUAAUAAUAAGUGCUGGUAAAAUAUUUAUAUUAUAGUUUACUGGGAAGCUGAGUGUAGUUUUGUAUUUCAUUAGUGCUUGAGGCAGUACAUAGUAACAUUUUUUUUUUUGCUCCAAAAUAAGUGGAUAGAAUUCUAAAUGGUAUAGUAACUUAUCUUUCAACUAUCAGCUGGGGAAAGAAAGAACUAAUAAUAAUAAAGUCCUUUACUAGUUGAAAUUUAAGAAAUUUUAAACGAGGUCUAUAGGGCAGUAAUUAGCAGCAUCUCACAGUCAGUGUUAUUGGACACUAGACUGCUGGAUCAGCCACUUCUGUAUGCAGACUAGUAAUUUAGCUCUGGUUCAUAAUUUUCAAUAACAGAGCUAUUCAAGAGGGAGGGGUGGU